rnacentral:rRNA from 1 species
UACGUAGGGUGCGAGCGUUGUCCGGAAUUAUUGGGCGUAAAGAGCUUGUAGGCGGUCUGUCGCGUCUGCUGUGAAAAUCCGGGGCUCAACUCCGGAUCUGCGGUGGGUACGGGCAGACUAGAGUGAUGUAGGGGAGACUGGAAUUCCUGGUGUAGCGGUGAAAUGCGCAGAUAUCAGGAGGAACACCGAUGGCGAAGGCAGGUCUCUGGGCAUUAACUGACGCUGGAGGAGCGAAAGCAUGGGGAGCGAACAGG